rnacentral:rRNA from 1 species
UUCGGGUUGUCAUGCCAAUGGCACUGCCCGGUAGCUAAAUGCGGAAGAGAUAAGUGCUGAAAGCAUCUAAGCACGAAACUUGCCCCGAGAUGAGUUCUCCCUGAGACUUWRRGUCUCCUGAAGGAACGUUGAAGACGACGACGUUGAUAGGCCGGGUGUGUAAGCGCAGCGAUGCGUUGAGCUAACCGGUACUAAUGAACCGUGAGGCUUAACCUU